rnacentral:rRNA from 1 species
GAAAUAGAACCUGAAACCGUGUGCUUACAAACGGUAGGAGCCCUUAGGGGUGACUGCGUGGAUUUUGGUUAAUCAUCCUGCGAGUUAUGAUGUGUGGCAAGGUUAAGUAAACGGAGCCGAAGGGAAACCGAGUCUUAAUAGGGCGAUAAGUCGCAUGUCAUAGACGCGAAACCUAGUGAUCUAGGCCUGUCCAGGUUGAAGCUGGGGUAAGACCCAGUGGAGGACCGAACUCACCACCGUUGAAAAGUUGGGAGAUGAGAUAGGUUUAGGGGUGAAAAGCCAAUCGAACUAGGAGAUAGCUCGUUCUCUCCGAAAUGCAUUUAGGUGCAGCCUUAAUAAAGAUAUAUGGGGGUAGAGCUCUGUAUGGCCUAGGGGGCGUAUAGCUUACCGAAGUCAAGCAAACUGCGAAUACCAUAUAUUAAUUAUUAGGAGUGAGUCCAUGGAUGACAAGGUCCAUGGACGAGAGGGAAACAGCCCAGACCAUCAGCUAAGGUCCCAAAUUAUGUCUAAGUGGGGAAGGAGGUGGAUACUCACAAACAACCAGGAGGUUGGCUUAGAAGCAGCCAUACCUUUAAAGAGUGCGUAAUAGCUCACUGGUCGAGAGUAUCUGCGCCGAAGAUUUAACGGGGCUAAGACAUAAACCGAAGCUAUGGAAACUAGAUUUUAUCUAGUUUGGUAGGAGAGCGUUCUGUAAGCCGUAGAAGGUGUACUGUAAGGUAUAUUGGAGGUAUCAGAAGUGAGAAUGCAGGAAUGAGUAGCGAGAAAGAGAGUGAGAAUCUCUCUGGCCGAAAGUCCAAGGUUUCCAGAGGAAGGUUUGUCCGCUCUGGGGGAGUCGGGACCUAAGUCGAGGCUUAAAAGCGUAGGCGAAUGGAAAAUAGGUUAAUAUUCCUAUACCACUAUAUAAACGUUAUUAGAGAUGGAGUGACGCAGGAAGGUAUGUGAGAAGGGCGACGGUUGUCCCUUUCUAAGGAAGUAGUGUGAACAUGGAGGCAAAUCCACAUGUUUAAACAUGAGAUCUUAUGGGUAAGUAGCUUAGGCUAUAAGUCACAAAUCCUAUACUGCCGAGAAAAACUUCUAUUGAGAUUAUGUAGUGCCCGUACUGUAAACCGACACAGGUGGACUGGGUGAGUAACCCGAGGCCGACAGGAUAACUCUAGCUAAGGAACUCUGCAAAAUGGCCCCGUAACUUCGGGAGAAGGGGUACCUAUGUUAUGUGAUAAGAUAAACACUUUGAGCAGAAAUAGGUCGCAGUGAAGAGUCCCAAGCAACUGUUUACCAAAAACACAGGUCUAUGCUAAGCUGAAAGGCGACGUAUAUGGGCUGACACCUGCCCAGUGCUGGAAGGUUAAGAGGAGGAUUGAGAGAUUCGAAUUGAAGCCCCAGUGAACGGCGGCCGUAACUAUAACGGUCCUAAGGUAGCGAAAUUCCUUGUCGGGUAAGUUCCGACCUGCACGAAUGGUGAAAUGAUUUGGGAGCUGUCUUGGCUGGAGACCUGGUGAAGUUGUAAUGUCGGUGAAGAUACCGAUUACCUGCAGUAGGACGGAAAGACCCCGUGGAGCUUUACUGUAGCUUGGCAUUGGGUUUUGGCAAUGUGUGUAUAGGAUAGUUGGGAGACUAUGAUACUAGGGCGCAAGUUUUAGAGGAGUCAAUGGUGGAAUACCAACCAUAUAUUGUCGGAAUUCUAAUCAUUGGUUUGUAGCCAAUGAGACAGUGCUAGGUGGGCAGUUUGACUGGGGCGGUCGCCUCCUAAAGAGUAACGGAGGCGUUCAAAGGUUC